rnacentral:rRNA from 1 species
UAUCAGUCAUGCAUAGCAUAUCAAUAAGCGGAGGAAAAGAAACUAACAAGGAUUCCCUUAGUAACGGCGAGUGAAGCGGGAAGAGCUCAAAUUUGAAAUCUUCAAGGUUUUACCUUGACGAAUUGUAGUUUAAAGAAGUGUUUUCUGUUGAAGUUUUGGUAAAAGUUCUUUGGAAUAGGACAUCAUAGAGGGUGAGAAUCCCGUAUUUGACCAUUACUUUCAGCUUUGUGAUACACUUUCAAAGAGUCGGAUUGUUUGGGAAUGCAGUCCAAAAUGGGUGGUAAAUUUCAUCUAAAGCUAAAUAUUGGCGAGAGGACCGAUAGCGAACAAGUACCGUGAGGGAAAGAUGAAAAGAACUUUGAAAAGAGAGUUAAACAGUACGUGAAAUUGUCAAAAGGGAAGCGUUUGACACCAGUGUUGUUUUCUCGAAAAUCAAUUAAAAAGAGUUGGAUUUUGUGUUGUAUUGACUUUAUCAGCUUUCUUCACUCUUUUCCAGCUUUUUUUAAUGCACUUUUCGUUUAACAAGUCAACAUCAGUUUCUUUUGUUGUAAAAAGGUCAUUGGAAGGUGGCUUUCUCUACGGAGAAAGUGUUUAUAGCCUUUGACUCAUGCAAUCGGAGAGACUGAGGUCUGCAGCGUAGAUCCUUCGGGGUUAGAUACAUUUGUGCUAAGUUAUAGCUUUUCAUAGACAACUUGUUGACUAUGUUUAGUCUUGUAGCUUACUCGCUUAUGCUAUUUUACCUACGCUUAGGAUGUUGAACUCUAUCACACACAG